GAGCUUGCUCUUGAUGACGAGUGGCGCACGGGUGAGUAACGCGUAUGCAAUCUACCUAUAACUGAGGAAUAGCCCAGAGAAAUUUGGAUUAAUACCUCAUAGUAUUAUUAUUUGGCAUCAUUUAAUAAUUAAAACUCCGGUGGUUAUAGAUGAGCAUGCGUUCUAUUAGCUAGUUGGUGAGGUAAGAGCUCACCAAGGCUACGAUAGAUAGGGGGCCUGAAAGGGUGAUCCCCCACACUGGUACUGAGACACGGACCAGACUCCUACGGGAGGCAGCAGUGAGGAAUAUUGCACAAUGGAGGAAACUCUGAUGCAGCCAUGCCGCGUGCAGGAUGAAGGCCCUAUGGGUUGUAAACUGCUUUUUUACAAGAAGAAACCUUGGUACGUGUACCAACUUGACGGUAUUGUAAGAAUAAGCACCGGCUAACUCCGUGCCAGCAGCCGCGG
rnacentral:rRNA from 1 species